rnacentral:lncRNA from 1 species
GCGCCUCAUCCAUCUCAACGUUUUUCACUAUUUACUAUUUCUGUAAGUACAAUCGUUUUUGAGAUAUCGACUAAAAAGUUGUAAGGUCAAAGGUCAAGGUCAACCUUAAAAAACUUUAAAACACACUGAAAAUUCUUUAAAUAAGGUCAAAAACACAUAAUUCGCUAUAUGGGACAUGACCUUGACCUUUGACCUUUUGACCUUUGUCAAGGUCAUUAGUCCCCAAUGUCAUUGCUGAAGACCCCAUGGGUCUAGGACCUUUUGUUAUAUAGUAAAAGCUGAUUUUCUCUUUUCAGAAACCUAAAACAGGGGUUAUGCCCCUUACAGAAAGGUCAAAUCUCUUCGGUCAAAAUGUAACAAAGUUGCGCAUUAAUGACCCAAACAUUUUCCACUAUACAACACUUCUGAAAGUAUUAAGGUUGCUGAGAUUAUCCGCUAACAAGGUGUUAGGUCAAAGGUCAAGGUCAACAUACACAUUUGACCUUGAGGUAUUUUUCAAAGUCACAUGAAUUGAUGAUGAAUGGUGAAGAUCCUAGGUGUCUACGACUUACGGUUUCUGAGUUUUGGUGGCCAACCGACACCGGUUAAUUUUAAUAGAGGCAUAACCCUACCAAUGAGUCGUUGAAUCUUUUCGAUCCAAAUGUAACAAAGAACCAGGGUCUGGUCCUGAACAAAUUUCACCCUUCGUUUUUUUUCUACCUAUUACGGUUACGGUGUUGGAACGAUAACAAGGUUUUUGGGUUUCGGAGGGAUUACUCCGAACCGACAAAAUAUUUCGACUCACAGGGUGAGUUCCGGAUAGGUAUUCAUGACACCGAUACAAAGUGUGAACAUGAAAGCGACACGUCUUACGGUUAACGCGGAUAAAUUUGUCAAAGUUUGGCGGAAGAAUAAUAAUAAACAGA